AACAAUUUGCAGGGGGACGCUUUUGGCGUUGAGAAGGUUAAAACCUGACCCUUAGAACCUGUUCAGUUAACACUGGCGUAGGGAGCAAAGUACACGGUAGU
rnacentral:ncRNA from 2 species